rnacentral:rRNA from 1 species
UGUAGUCUCAACGAUGAUGCAUACAUGUCCACUAUGGGUGUUGGGUCCAACAAUUCGCAUUGGUCUCAAACCAAUGACAUCCAUUUCGAAGACCAUGAGUUUGAGGUGGACGAGGAGGGUGAGGGAAUUGUCGAGGCGCCGAGAGGAAGAGCGGGCAAUUACUCCACCACCGAUGACAAGUUACUAUGCAACACUUAUUUGCAUGUCUCCAAGGAUCCAUCCAUUGAAGGUGAUCAAAGUAGAGAUGCGUAUUGGGGGCGAAUGACAGAACGCUAUAAUGCUCACAACAAGAGUGGAAUUUACCGCUCCGAGAGAUCACUUCGGUCCCGAUGGUCGACAAUCAACUCGGAUUGUCAAAAGUGGGCGGCCGCGCAAAAGUCGGUGGACAAGAUUAACCCAAGUGGCACAAAUGAGGAUGAUCGAGUAAGUGGCAUCUCAUAUAUGUUCAUCAUACUUGUUUUUGGUGACCGAAGUGCUAACUUGUUUUGUUUUUCUUGUAGUUCAACAUUGCACAAAACUUGUUCAAAAAUGAGACAAGGACAACCAAGAAGGGGAAGAUCAAGAAAGGCCGGAUAUUUACCUUGCCUCAUUGCUAUGAAGUGUUAA